AUGGCGCCUCCGUCCUCCUCGUCCGCCCCGCCGCCGUCGUCGUGGGUCAUCCUAGGCAGCAUCCAGCGCGUCUCCGCACCGGCCGGCGGGGGCGACGCCUCCCUCGCGCUCGCGGCGCCGCCGCGCGUCUCGAUCCUCAACGUCUCCCAGAGCGUCUUUCCGGAAGCGGCCACGCCCCAUCACUUCCCCUUCGUCCUCGCCGCCGACCCUUCCGGCCUGCUCCUCCUCCAGGCCAACCUGAGCCGCCCGCCCAGACGCGAAGUCCUCGACGGCCCCGCCAGCCAUGGCGUGUACUGGAAAGACUCCACCUCGCGCUACUUCGUUCUCGACGCCACCACCGCCCCGGGGACGGCGUUCCACCUCCCCGACCCCGAGCCCCCCAACACCAUCCUGCACCAGGCCCUCCUCGGCCUUCUCGCCUCCCCUGCCGGUGGCGGACACUACAUGGUCGCGGAGCUCCAGCCCAUCAUCGGCCUGGACAAAGCCACGCUCCUCUGCUUCUCCACAGAGGUCGGGGAGUGGGUCGAGAAGCGCGUCCACUGCCCGCUCCCGCCACGCCCGCUGGUUCCCAUCGGCGUGGUCUCGCACCACGGGAGGUUCUGGUGGGUGGACCUCUCAUGGGGCGUCAUCCACUGCGACCCCUUCGCCGACAAGCCGGUCCUGGGCUUCGUCCCCUUCCCGCCGGAGAGGGUCCUCAAGUGCAGGGAAGGCUGGGGUGUCACCGACGAGUACCGCUACGUGGGCGUCAGCGAUGGCAAGCUGCGGUUCGUUGACACGUACGUGCGCAGCGGCGACGCUCCCAAGGUCGCCGUGUGGACGCUGGCACAUCCAGACUCCACGGAGUGGACGCUGGAGCAGGAGACGACGUUUGCGGAGAUCUGGGGCGACAAGAGCUACAAGGCCACCAGGCUGCCCAAGAAGAUGCCCGUGCUUGCACUCAUCCACCCCAAGAACCCGUGCGUCGUCUUCUUCUUCCUGGAGCAGCAACUCUUCGGCGUCGACGUGCGCACGCGCAAGGUCGUGGACUGCAAGCCCUAUGGGCUAGUUGCGCCGCCGAGCUGCUACAUCGCCAGCCGAUUCGUUCGCGCUUGGGAGUUGCCGCAGCCGCUCCCCUCAGAUAAUAACGCAAUGCCAUCCUCCUGUCCUGUCGGGAUGCUUAACUGGUGCAAGGGCAUCAAGGCUAAAAAAGAUAAAGCACGAGCACCCCACAAGCCAUCGCCAGGGUAUUACCACUUGGUGGGACAUACCAGGCAGACAUUCAUAGGAUGA
rnacentral:rRNA from 1 species